rnacentral:rRNA from 1 species
AGCGAACAUUGGCGGUAGGCUUAACACAUGCAAGUCGAGCGAGGCGUAAUAGUCGAGCGGCGAACGGGUGAGUAAUACAUGGGAAUCUACCUCGAAGUGGGGGAUAACGUUCAGAAAUGGACGCUAAUACCGCAUAAUCCGGGAACGGGAAAGCGCGCUGCGCUUUGAGAUGAGCCCAUGGCUGAUUAGCUAGUUGGUGGGGUAAAGGCCUACCAAGGCGACGAUCAGUAGCUGGUCUGAGAGGAUGAUCAGCCACACUGGAACGGAGACACGGUCCAGACUCCUACGGGAGGCAGCAGUGGGGAAUCUUGCGCAAUGGGGGCAACCCUGACGCAGCCAUACCGCGUGUGCGAUGACGGUCUUCGGAUUGUAAAGCACUUUUAGUGGGGACGAUGAUGACGGUACCCACAGAAAAAGUCACGGCUAACUUCGUGCCAGCCGCCGCCGUAA